GACGAACGCUGGCGGCGUGCCUAAUACAUGCAAGUCGAACGCUUCUUUCCUCCCGAGUGCUUGCACUCAAUUGGAAAGAGGAGUGGCGGACGGGUGAGUAACACGUCGGUAACCUACCCAUCAGAGGGGGAUAACACUUGGAAACAGGUUCUAAUACCGCAUAACAGUUUAUGCCGCAUGGCAUAAGAGUGAAAGGCGCUUGCGGGUGUCGCUGAUGGAUGGACCCGCGGUGCAUUAGCUAGUUGGUGAGGUAACGGCUCACCAAGGCCACGAUGCAUAGCCGACGUGAGAGGGUGAUAGGCCACACUGGGACUGAGACGCGGCCCAGGCUACUGCGGGAGGCAGCAGUAGGGAAUCGUCGGCAAUGGACGGAAGUCUGACCGAGCAACGGCGCGUGAGUGAAGAAGGUUUUCGGAUCGUAAAAAUCUGUUGUUAGUGAAGAACAAGGACGUUAGUAACUGAACGUCGCGUGACGGUAUCUAAUAAGAAAGCAACGGCUAACUACGUG
rnacentral:rRNA from 1 species